rnacentral:rRNA from 1 species
AGUGAACGCUGGCGGCAUGCCUUACACAUGCAAGUCGAACGGCAACACGGCUUGGGCUGCUUCCUAGGGGCGAACGGUGGCGGAAGGCAUCGGAAUGCAUCCGGAUGUAGUUUUUCGCGGGGCGAAAGGUUGGCUAAUACACCAUACUAUCUAAGACUGAAAGCGGGGGACAGCAGGGGAUUGUGCGUUUUUGGCGGACGAUGUCAGAUUAGGUAGUUGGCGGGAUAAAGGCGGACCAAGCCGACGAUCUGUAGCUGGUCUGAGAGGACGACCAGCCACACUGGAACUGAGACACGGCCCAGACUCCUACGGGAGGCAGCAGUGGGGAAUUUUGGACAAUGGGCGAAAGCCUGAUCCAGCAAUGCCGCGUGGAGGAUGAAGGCCUUCGGGUUGUAAACUGCUUUUGUACGGAAAGAAAAGCCGCUGGUUAAUACCUCGCGCUCAUGACGGUACCGUAAGAAUAAGCACCGGCUAACUACGUG